AUUGAACGCUGGCGGCAGGCCUAACACAUGCAAGUCGAACGAGCGGCGGACGGGUGAGUAAUGUCUGGGAAACUGCCCGAUGGAGGGGGAUAACUACUGGAAACGGUAGCUAAUACCGCAUCCCAUCGGAUGUGCCCAGAUGGGAUUAGAUAGUAGGUGGGGUAACGGCUCACCUAGGCGACGAGCCCUAGCUGGUCUGAGAGGAAGACCAACCACACUGUAACGGAGACACGGUCCAGACGCCUACGGGAGUCAGCAGUGGGGAAGAUUGCACAAUGGGCGCAAGCCUGAUGCAGCCAUGCCGCGUGUAUGAAGAAGGCCUUCGGGUUGUAAAGCACUUUCAGCGAGGAGGCGUUACUCGCAGAAGAAGCACCGGCUAACUCCGUGCCAGCCGCCGCGGUAAUAC
rnacentral:rRNA from 1 species